rnacentral:rRNA from 1 species
UACGUAGGGUGCGAGCGUUGUCCGGAAUUACUGGGCGUAAAGAGCUCGUAGGCGGUCUGUCGCGUCGGUCGUGAAAACUUGGGGCUUAACCCUGAGCUUGCGGUCGAUACGGGCAUGACUGGAGUUCGGUAGGGGAGACUGGAAUUCCUGGUGUAGCGGUGAAAUGCGCAGAUAUCAGGAGGAACACCGGUGGCGAAGGCGGGUCUCUGGGCCGAUACUGACGCUGAGGAGCGAAAGCGUGGGGAGCGAACAGG